rnacentral:rRNA from 1 species
UACGAAGGGAUCUAGCGUUGUUCGGAUUUACUGGGCGUAAAGGGCGCGUAGGCGGUUAUGUAAGUAAGAUGUGAAAGCCCUGGGCUUAACCCGGGAACUGCAUUUUAAACUGCAUAGCUUGAGUGUUGGAGAGGUAAGUAGAAUCCCCAGUGUAGAGGUGAAAUUCGUAGAUAUUGGGAAGAAUACCAGUGGCGAAGGCGACUUACUGGACAACAACUGACGCUGAGGCGCGAAAGCGUGGGGAGCAAACAGG